AUUGAACGCUGGCGGCAGGCCUAACACAUGCAAGUCGAGCGGAGCGGCGGACGGGUGAGUAAUGCCUAGGUAUCUGCCUGGUCGUGGGGGAUAACGUCCGGAAACGGGCGCUAAUCCUGCAUCCUCUCAGAUGAGCCUAGGUCGGAGUAGCUAGUUGUUGGGGUAAAGGCCGACCAUGGCGACGAUCCGUAACUGGUUGGAGAGGAUGAGCAGGCACACUGGAACUGGGAAACGGUCCAGACUCCUACGGGAGGCAGCAGUGGGGAGUAUUGGACAAUGGGCGAAAGCCUGAUGCAGCCAUGCCCCGUGUGUUAUGAAGGCCUUCGGAUUGUAAAGUACUUUAAGUUGGGAGGCGUUACCCACAGAAUAAGCACCGGCUAACUUCGUGCCAGCAGCCGCGGUAAUAC
rnacentral:rRNA from 1 species